rnacentral:tRNA from 1 species
CAGGAGAUAGUUUAAUUAGAACUCCAGCUUUGGGUGUUGGAAGUAGGGUUUUUUGCUCUUCUCUUGA